UUCUGCCUACGGGAGGCAGCAGUGGGGAAUAUUGGGCAAUGGGCGCAAGCCUGACCCAGCAACGCCGCGUGAAGGAAGAAGGCUUUCGGGUUGUAAGCUUCUUUUCUCAGGGACGAAUAGAUGACGGUACCUGAGGAAUAAGCCACGGCUAACUACGUGCCAGCAGCCGCGGUAAUACGUAGGUGGCAAGCGUUAUCCGGAUUUACUGGGUGUAAAGGGCGUGUAGGCGGGGACGCAAGUCAGAUGUGAAAAUUAUGGGCUCAACCCAUAACCUGCAUUUGAAACUGUAGUUCUUGAGUGAUGUG
rnacentral:rRNA from 1 species